rnacentral:lncRNA from 1 species
CAGUAUGAGAAAUAUAUGUCUUUCAUUCGGGGAUUCCUUUUCUUCAUCAAGCACAGUGAGACAUACUGUCCUCACUAACAGGCUGGGGAGAAGCAGCCUGGGAGGCGGAGGUGGAGCCUGUGAUGUAACUGCAGUGGGUCUUUGCUAGAAAAGUCUUCUCUAAAUGAAAAAUAUCUGUACACCGAAUUGUUCAGCUUCAAUGUGCAUGGUCUUACAAGAGAAGAGACUUGUCUCUUUCAGCAUAAUGUAAAUCUUAGAGGCUUGAAAUCUUGGUCAACAGAGGAAUUCCUCACAAGUUGUUUAGAGAUAUACCAAGAGUCUCACUAAGGGAGGAAAAAGCAGGUUUCUUCAGCAAAGGAGUACCACUGUAGAGCAUUAAUGGUGUGUGUGUUAUAGUGGAAGUUAUAACCCAAAGUGUAAGGAAAGAUGCCCUACAGCUUGUUCCAAUCCUGAAAGUUUCCUACAUUACUGUGUUCUUUCAUUAUUCUUGACAGUGAUUAUGAAAAAGACCUUCAUUUCUUAUUCCCAUGGAAGAAUUUAGGAGAGAUAAACGCCUCCCAGUUGUAGAAGGAUACAAAUUUUGCCUUCCUCAAAAUUUCAACUAGAUCUCAGAUUCAACUUCUAGGGAGAGAAUGACUAAUUCUGUAUAACUACUUGGUGUUUUAAGAUGAUAAUGAAUUAAGACGUUUAUUCCAACAUAAGCAUAUUACCUGCUUUCCACCAUAUUGGAAGCUCCGGUUUGUCAAGCUCCAGGCUCAACACGCACACUGCAGAGAUGCAGAACAACGCUUGGAUAUCUGCCCAAGACUGGUCUCUCCGAACGACAGACUCAAAUUUACGGCCGAUCCCUUGGAACGCGGAGGCUCCUCGUGCCUACUUAUUUGCCCGGGCUUCUAAGACCCACACGAAAAGGAGCCCAAGGCGGGGCACCUUCUGCUAUUCAAGUGGGUGUCUGUGGCCUAACGUAGACGGUGCAAGUUUCUUGUCUUGAGACUUUAUUAGCUUUCCGUGUAAACCAAGGAAUAUCAGCCUCUUUUCUCCACUAAUUUUCCUACUAUACUAUUCUUUCCUAAUCUCUCUGUAUAUUUCUAAAUAAAUAAGUUUUUCCUCGCUG